rnacentral:tRNA from 1 species
GACGGUAUAGCUCAGUGGUAGAGCAACGGAAUCAUAACUCGUCAGCCGUAGGUUCAAAUCCUACUACCGUCA